rnacentral:rRNA from 1 species
GGGUUGUGAGGUUAAGCGACUAAGCGUACACGGUGGAUGCCCUGGCAGUCAGAGGCGAUGAAGGACGUGCUAAUCUGCGAUAAGCGCCGGUAAGGUGAUAUGAACCGUUAUAACCGGCGAUUUCCGAAUGGGGAAACCCAGUGUGACUCGUCACACUAUCAUUAACUGAAUCCAUAGGUUAAUGAGGCGAACCGGGGGAACUGAAACAUCUAAGUACCCCGAGGAAAAGAAAUCAACCGAGAUUCCCCCAGUAGCGGCGAGCGAACGGGGAGGAGCCCAGAGCCUGAAUCAGCAUGUGUGUUAGUGGAAGCGUCUGGAAAGGCGCGCGAUACAGGGUGACAGCCCCGUACACAAAAGCGCAUAUGCUGUGAGCUCGAUGAGUAGGGCGGGACACGUGGUAUCCUGUCUGAAUAUGGGGGGACCAUCCUCCAAGGCUAAAUACUCCUGACUGACCGAUAGUGAACCAGUACCGUGAGGGAAAGGCGAAAAGAACCCCGGCGAGGGGAGUGAAAAAGAACCUGAAACCGUGUACGUACAAGCAGUGGGAGCCCCACCACCAAAGCGUUUCGCUUUGUGUGGUGCACAAAGAAGCGUAACGACAGCACUGAAUGACGGUUAACGGAGCGCAAGCGACGUUCAACAUACAAAGUCAAGCAGUGGAGCGCUUUGGGGUGGGGUGACUGCGUACCUUUUGUAUAAUGGGUCAGCGACUUAUAUUCUGUAGCAAGGUUAACCGUAUAGGGGAGCCGCAGGGAAACCG